GAUGAACGCUGGCGGCGUGCUUAACACAUGCAAGUCGAACGGAAAGGCCCUGCUUUUGUGGGGUGCUCGAUUGGCGAGCGGGUGAGUAACACGUGAGUAACCUGCCCUUGACUUUGGGGUAACUUCAGGAAACCUGGGAUAAUACCCGAUAGGAGCUCCUGCUCCGUGGUGUGGAUUGGAAAGUUUCGGCGGUUGGGGAUGUGCUCGCGGCUUAUCAGCUUGUUGGUGGAGUAGUGGCUUACCAAGUCUUUGACGGGUAGGCGGCCUGAGAGGGUGACCGGCGACAUUGGGACUGAGAGAGGGCCCAGAGUGCAACGGGGGGCAAUAGGGGGAAACAUUGCCCAACGAGCGCAAGCGUGAUGCAGAAGCGCUGCGGGUGGGAUGACGGCCUUCGGGGUGUAAAACGCUUUCGCCUGUGACGAAGCGUGAGUGACGGUAAUGUAUAAAGAAGCACCGGCUAACUACGUG
rnacentral:rRNA from 1 species